ACCGUUUAGAAGUAAACCUGAGAAACCCAAAAGAUCGAAUGAGGAGAUUCAUCGUCAGGGUAUUUUGAUAUUAAUGUGAGUUAUGAUGUGGUAAAUAAUCCUUGUGGUUAGUAUAUUACACGUGCUUGUAUUAUUUUGUCAAAUACGUCGGCGUGCACUUCUCCUCUAGUAGAACGUUGCGACCCGUUGGAUGUUGAUCUAUGGCCCAAUUGGUAGUCUUCGAUUUCUGCUUGCAGUUAAUUGGAGACCAUUGGUGUUCUGAUCAGCUGUUUGACGGUAUUCAAAUGGUAAUAAGUUGCAAUUUAAUUUGCGUUAAGUUUGUCACAAGUGCGGUUAAUACUCAGCAGUACGGAUCUAAUGCCGUCGCAGAAGUUAACCAACUGUUAGUAGACAGUGUUCUUUAACUGGCUUAUUUACCGGUCAGCAAUGCUACUGCUUUGGUAUCUCAGGA
rnacentral:rRNA from 1 species